rnacentral:rRNA from 1 species
UGAUGCUGACGACCGGCGCACGGGUGCGUAACGCGUAUAGAACCUACCUUAUAGUAAGGGAUAGCCCAGAGAAAUUUGGAUUAAUACCUUAUGGUAUCAUAAAUUGGCAUCAAUUACUGAUUAAAGAUUUAUCGCUAUAAGAUGGCUAUGCGUUCUAUUAGCUAGUUGGUAUGGUAACGGCAUACCAAGGCUACGAUAGAUAGGGGUCCUGAGAGGGAGAUCCCCCACACUGGUACUGAGACACGGACCAGACUCCUACGGGAGGCAGCAGUGAGGAAUAUUGGACAAUGGAGGCAACUCUGAUCCAGCCAUGCCGCGUGUAGGAAGACUGCCCUAUGGGUUGUAAACUACUUUUAUAGAGGAAGAAACCCCGAUAUGUAUAUCGGUCUGACGGUACUCUACGAAUAAGGAUCGGCUAACUCCGUGCCAGCAGCCGCGGUAAUACGGAGGAUCCAAGCGUUAUCCGGAAUCAUUGGGUUUAAAGGGUCCGUAGGCGGGUUUGUAAGUCAGUGGUGAAAGUUUUCGGCUCAACCGGAAAAUUGCCAUUGAUACUGCAAGUCUUGAAUCAUUAUGAAGUGGUUAGAAUAAGUAGUGUAGCGGUGAAAUGCAUAGAUAUUACUUAGAAUACCGAUUGCGAAGGCAGAUCACUAAUAAUGUAUUGACGCUAAGGGACGAAAGCGUGGGUAGCGAACAGGAUUAGAUACCCUGGUAGUCCACGCCGUAAACGAUGGUUACUAGCUGUUCGGUUUUCGGACUGAGUGGCUAAGCGAAAGUGAUAAGUAACCCACCUGGGGAGUACGUUCGCAAGAAUGAAACUCAAAGGAAUUGACGGGGGCCCGCACAAGCGGUGGAGCAUGUGGUUUAAUUCGAUGAUACGCGAGGAACCUUACCAGGGCUUAAAUGUAG